rnacentral:rRNA from 1 species
AUUGAACGCUGGCGGCAGGCUUAACACAUGCAAGUCGAGCGGAGAGAGGUAGCUUGCUACUGAUCUUAGCGGCGGACGGGUGAGUAAUGCUUAGGAAUCUGCCUAUUAGUGGGGGACAACAUUUCGAAAGGAAUGCUAAUACCGCAUACGUCCUACGGGAGAAAGCAGGGGAUCUUCGGACCUUGCGCUAAUAGAUGAGCCUAAGUCGGAUUAGCUAGUUGGUGGGGUAAAGGCCUACCAAGUCGACGAUCGGUAGCGGGUCUGAGAGGAUGAUCCGUCACACGGGGACUGAGACACGGCCCAGACUCCUACGGGAGGCAGCAGUGGGGAAUAUUGGACAAUGGGCGCAAGCCUGAUCCAGCCAUGCCGCGUGUGUGAAGAAGGCCUUAUGGUUGUAAAGCACUUUAAGCGAGGAGGAGGCUACUUUAGUUAAUACCUAGAGAUAGUGGACGUUACUCGCAGAAUAAGCACCGGCUAACUCUGUGCCAGCCGCCGCAGUAAUAC